GGGUGAAAAUGGAUUCCAUACCUACAAUUUAAAAAAGUCUUUCCUGAAAACUGAAUCUCAUUUGUGAGGCUGAGGUUCAGAUAUGUAAGGAGAGUAAUAAAAUCACAAUGAAUUCACCAUUUGUCUACUUUCGAAGUUCACUGCCUUUUGGAGAUCCUGUUUUACAGAAUUAAAUGCAAAGCUUCAACUCAACAGAAUUCCGGAAUGUGUGGUGUUCUUUUGCAAGACUCUAUACAUGGAUAAUCCAAUAUCUUCAAGAUAAGAAGGAGUGUUAUUAUCAUGUACUCCUUUCAGGAAGGAUUCACUUGGUUCUUUUGUUUAAUUGGAGUAAAGACAAGUCUAAAAUAAAAGAUGGGAAAGAUAGCUUUAAGUUACCUACAUUCUAUAUUCAUCCAAGUUCUCGUUGGCUCCUGUGUCAACUUUUGCAUAUUAAAAUAACUUCAGGUAAACUGAAUUCACUGCCAAUUGCCUCUAAACAUGUGAAAGGACUGAGGUUCAGCACAGAAUUAGGAUAAAC
rnacentral:lncRNA from 1 species